rnacentral:rRNA from 1 species
GACGGAAGGUGCAAGCGUUGCUCGGAAUCACUGGGCGUAAAGGGUGCGUAGGCGGCCGUGCAAGUCUGGCGUGAAAGCCCCGGGCUCAGCCCGGGAAGUGCGCUCGAAACUGCGCGGCUCGAGUGCCGGAGGGGAGAGUGGAAUUCCUGGUGUAGCGGUGAAAUGCGCAGAUAUCAGGAGGAACACCGGUGGCGAAGGCGGUUCUCUGGGCCUGUACUGACGCUGAGGAACGAAAGCGUGGGGAGCGAACAGG